ACGAACGCUGGCGGCGUGCUUAACACAUGCAAGUCGAACGGUGAAGCGCCUUCCUUUUUGGUGGGUGUGGAUGAGUGGCGAACGGGUGAGUAACACGUGAGUAACCUGCCCCCUUCUUCUGGAUAACCGCAUGAAAGUGUGGCUAAUACGGGAUAUUCUGGGUCUGUCGCAUGAUGGGUCUGGGAAAGAUAUUGUUUCGGUGGGGGAUGGGCUCGCGGCCUAUCAGCUUGUUGGUGGGGUGAUGGCCUACCAAGGCGGUGACGGGUAGCCGGCCUGAGAGGGUGGACGGUCACACUGGGACUGAGACACGGCCCAGACUCCUACGGGAGGCAGCAGUGGGGAAUAUUGCACAAUGGGCGCAAGCCUGAUGCAGCGACGCCGCGUGGGGGAUGGAGGCCUUCGGGUUGUGAACCUCUUUCGCCAGUGAAGCAGGCCUGCCUCGUUUGUGGGUGGGUUGACGGUAGCUGGAUAAGAAGCGCCGGCUAACUACGUG
rnacentral:rRNA from 1 species